rnacentral:rRNA from 1 species
GAUGAACGCUAGCGGGAGGCCUAACACAUGCAAGCCGAGCGGUAGAGUUUCUUCGGAAACUUGAGAGCGGCGCACGGGUGCGUAACACGUGUGCAACCUACCUUUAUCUGGGGGAUAGCCUUUCGAAAGGAAGAUUAAUACCCCAUAAUAUAAUGAUUGGCAUCAAUUAUUAUUGAAAACUCCGGUGGAUAGAGAUGGGCACGCGCAAGAUUAGAUAGUUGGUGAGGUAACGGCUCACCAAGUCAAUGAUCUCUAGGGGUCCUGAGAGGGAGAUCCCCCACACUGGUACUGAGACACGGACCAGACUCCUACGGGAGGCAGCAGUGAGGAAUAGUGGACAAUGGGUGAGAGCCUGAUCCAGCCAUCCCGCGUGAAGGAUGACGGUCCUAUGGAUUGUAAACUUCUUUUGUACAGGGAUAAACCUACCCUCGUGAGGGUAGCUGAAGGUACUGUACGAAUAAGCACCGGCUAACUCCGUG